ensembl:lncRNA LINC02822 long intergenic non-protein coding RNA 2822
GUUCAGAGAAUAAAGAGAUGAAUUUAAUAAUGCCACUGGACACUUAUACUCUAUCGGAUCCUAAUAAUUUCUCACACUAAUGAAUUCUUCUAUCAACUUCAUGUUAAUCAAGAGGAGACAGAGCCAAGAAGUGAGUAAUUGCUUACUGAAUUGUGAAAGCUGGGAUGAUUUAACUACAGCCUCCCUAGAAUGUGACAGUCCACAGAAAUAUCUGAUUUCAAAGAGAUGCUUGCAUUCUGUACUGAUGCCAUCUAGAAUUGUAAAUGACCAGUGUCACACUGCUAAGUGGAGAAAGCGUGAAAGAAGAAUCCCAUCAGUACAUUCACGAUAGAGGAAAUAAGAAACAAUGAAAGCCACAAGUUUACUCGAAGGCAGCAAAAUUGGCCCUACUCCCAACCCUGCAACAUGCACCAUUUCCAUAAACAAUCUACAGAGAUGGCUGAGAAAAAGAAAAAGGGGUACUCUCCUUUACCCCUUCUCCAAAGCCCGAUGAAGUAAAGAGUAGAAAUCAAGAGUGUCUACAAGAAUUGGGGAUUGGCAUUGAUUCUCCACUGUGUGAUUACUCAUGCUUUAUGGCAAUGUGCCUAUUUAAAGGGCAGGUAAUGACUUAGCAAGAAGGAAGGAGAGAGAAUGUCAAACUCACCUGAAGUCUUACCAAUUGGUGUGGCAGCUUCCAGGGUUCCAUUGAUCUUGUGGCGUGGGAGGACUGUUUCGGUGUAAGUCUAUUACCAGGAGCUAUAUGACAACAUUAAUUAAGUUGUGUUUUGGGAAAAUGAAAGCAAGCAAGAUGCACAUUUGCCUUUCUGCCAAUAAACACUUAAGUACAGCAAUGUGCAGGAAUUCCUGGCACAUUAAUCAACUUGAUCUUUUUCCUUCUUCUUUUGUUGUAUCUUUCCUUUCUUUUUGACUUUCUUCCUUCCUUUCUUCUUUAAUUUUUAGUGAUAGUUUGUACUUUUAUAAUACAAUUGAUAGAAGGAAGAGCUAUUCAACAUGAAUGCCCUACAAUCUCACAUUUACAGAGGAGUUUAAGGAAGAAUACAUGCAAUAAAAUUGGGCUUCAGGAGCCACUGGGGCCUAUGAACAGCUAUCCUUAAUAAUUUGUCUUUGUUCUACAUAUGUGGUAUUUUGUUUGUGUUUUGUUGGGAGGAAAAAAGCUGUUCUUCACAUACACCACUGUUAUUAUAUGAAAGAUUAUUUAGAGCCACUAUUCUGAGAAGGUGAUCUCUCAUUCCAUGAUUGGCUGUCUGUCUUCUAUUCUCACCCUUAUUCCAAAUGAGCUUUAACUUCAUUUUAUAAGUUGCCUUUCUUCAGUAACAUCUCUCACAAUGAUUUUUUUUAAUCAGUAAGUUCACAGGAUUUUAGGAAACUGUAUCUGUGCAAUAGGUACAAAGAGUUAGGUCUAAACUCUUUUCAUGUGCUGGCUAAGUCCUCAGCAACCUCUCCAAUCUUUUGUCCAGCCCUUCCUCCACACCAAACUGUUUAUAGGCUGUGCUGUUUCCCUGUGAUAUUCGUUUUGAUUUAUUGUUCUCUUCACCACCUUCCAUCCCCAACUUUUUUAAGGAUUCUCACUUAUUUUCAAGAUCCAUCACAGGUAUUUCCCUUUCUCAGCCAUCUUAGCCUCUCUCAAGUGAACUAAAGUUUCCUUUUAUAUUUUUGCCAUUAUAUUUUGUUAAUGUCAGCAUCACAGGACCUGUCACAUUUUAUUUUUUCAAUUAUUUAUGUAUGGCCUCUGGUUGCACUGUAAGUUCCAUGAAUAUAGGAGCUGUUUCCUGUUCAUUCAUUUUUUACAGUAGUGUUUAUUAUGCUUUUUAUGGCUCUUACCAAAGAAUACAUAUAACAAAUUAUCUUCCUAUAUUUCCUUUCACCUCCCCUUCCCAGAACUAUCAAAGUGAAUAACAGAUAUGUGUUGUCACAUGAUUAUCAAGAAAUAUUUAGGCAGUGCCUACUGUGUGUCAGGGUAAAUACUGCUUUUGGUGAUAUUCAUACAGCAGUUAACAAAACAGAAUCUCUGUCCUCUAAAAACCUCCAAUUUAGUGGGAUAAUUAUGCUAUGCUUGAGGAUAUUUCAUUAUUAAAUCGAGUAAAAAACAGUUUUUGCAAUAUCAAGUGUACUCAAUAUUAAAAUUCUGAAUAACAGCAUAACUAGUGGAGCAUAAUUUGAAGAGAAUACGAAAUAAUUCCACAUUGAUAAAUCUAAUGUCACAAAUAAAAUGUUUUAAUCACCAAAACCAAUUGAGUUAUCUUUUUUUGUUUUAUAUUAAUUUGUUCCAAAUAAUGUUAUGCUUUGUUUACUUCUUAUUGGGAUUAUGGCUUUCUAGUAUAGCAGUUUAUUUUUCCUGGAAUUGUUAAUUGUCUUUGAUUUUGCUUUGUUUCUUAAUUGUUGAUAUAACAAAAACAAUUAUCUCCAACAUAUCACUCAGUUGACUUACUGCUCAUUGAUAGUAAUUGUUAAAAUAACAAUUUGAGACAAACUUCUUCCGCUUCAAGAAG